AGUGAACGCUGGCGGUAGGCCUAACACAUGCAAGUCGAACGGCAGCACAGUAAGAGCUUGCUCUUACGGGUGGCGAGUGGCGGACGGGUGAGGAAUACAUCGGAAUCUACUUUUUCGUGGGGGAUAACGUAGGGAAACUUACGCUAAUACCGCAUACGACCUACGGGUGAAAGCAGGGGAUCUUCGGACCUUUCGCGAUUGAAUGAGCCGAUGUCGGAUUAGCUAGUUGGCGGGGUAAAGGCCCACCAAGGCGACGAUCCGUAGCUGGUCUGAGAGGAUGAUCAGCCACACUGGAACUGAGACACGGUCCAGACUCCUACGGGAGGCAGCAGUGGGGAAUAUUGGACAAUGGGCGCAAGCCUGAUCCAGCCAUACCGCGUAGGUGAAGAAGGCCUUCGGGUUGUAAAGCCCUUUUGUUGGGAAAGAAAAGCAGCAGGUUAAUACCCCGCUGUUCUGACGGUACCCAAAGAAUAAGCACCGGCUAACUUCGUG
rnacentral:rRNA from 1 species